UGGGCGAUAUCUUAAUAGAAUUGCACCGUUAACCGGAUACUAAGAUUAAUGAAUGAAUAAACAUUCUGCCUUGAUCCUGACAGGUUCGGACUAGGACAGAGGG
rfam:Bacillus solimangrovi strain GH2-4 NODE_1_length_255211_cov_1.87404_ID_757, whole genome shotgun sequence.